GUGUAGCUAUACAGUGUGUUUCUAGUGAAUUGUAAGUGCGUUUGUUGGUACUUUGAGGUGUUGCAUGGUGGCAGUAUCCAAGGUGAUGUGGCAAAGCUAGGUUCAAUAAUUUCACAGUCUUGACCAAUAUAACAGGUUCGGGAGAGUGUUCCAAAUUGAUAUGGACGGUAAACUGAACAAUGGUUUUGGCAUUUUGUAAGCACGAGCGAUAAUUUGGAAGUUAUCAUUGAGUCGGUAGGCUUGUGUGUGGGUGGGGUUAAUUCACAGUACAUAAUCUCGAGAACAUUAAGAUGAAAAUAAUGACAAAUAUUUAAUGUGAUUCACAGUAUACGUAGAGGUGAAUGACAUUGGGCAACCUUGCUUAUUGUAGGCAACAUUAAUGUGAACCUUUGAGUGUGGGUGUGGGAGUAGUUUUUGUGGUUUGUCUGUUAUUUGUAUUUAAAGGAGAGACGGAGAGCUAUGAUCAAUAGGAUUGUUGUAACUUACUGCUAGGGAUUCUCUCUCUUAAAACACCAUCCAGUCCAUCUAAAUUUACCUUAGCAUAGUCUAAGUCAUGAAUAAUAGUGGUGUUAAAAUACAAAGCCAGCAUCUCACUCACACAAUGCAAUGCUGGCAGACAUACCUACAGACGACCCCCGCACGGAACAGCAACGACUUAUGUGCCUCAGACAGUCAGUUCUCCUACUGCUGUGUCAAUGGUAUCCCGAAGCAGCGCAUGUGUGAUGGCUUCAAUGACUACUGCAGUAACGGAGAGGAUGAGUUUGUGCAGCUGUGUGGCACUGACGAGUGCCGGGAGAAGAAUGUCGGGUGUGAGCCCCUGUGCAUUAACACUCGAGAGUCAUACUACUGCCAGUGCCGGCCAGCAUACUGACUCGUCAGGAAGUUCAACUGUGAAGGUGAGGCCUGGACUGUCACUGUCACUCUACGGUGUGUCUUCUUAAACUUCUCAGUCCUUCACCUCUACAUUUAGCAACCUAAAGAAGUUAUUAUGGUAUUCAAGGGUACUUUUGUUAUUCUUGGCAUACAUGAACAUGCAUUUAGUCUCACGAGUAUGACUAAGAUCAGCGAUUUGCGGAUAGGUUGUUCUUUAUGAUUAAGUAUAAUUUUAUCUUCCCAUAUGCAUUUCUUAUUAGUGAUGUAAUUUUUGUAGUUUUCCUUAACGUAUUCCUGAAUAUUUAUUCCUGAAAUGCGUGUAAAUCUCUCGUUACUCCCUCUUUUUUAAUCUCUGUCCUUAACUUCUAUUAAAUCUGUGUUUCUGAGUGUAUUUCUCCACACUCAGACGUUGACAAGUGCGUGGAGUCGCCCAGAUCCUCUCCAUGCGGGACCAUCCAUUUUCAGUGUACAGAUGUUUGUCGGGUUCCUGAAGAUGCGUCGACGUUAUAUCAUCCACACAAGCUUCCCCAACCCACCCAGUGUACCACAAGACAACAGGCACUGAGGUGGACAGGAGCGCGCGGCUGCAUGCACCAUUGAACAGGACGGUAUUAUAUUCCUCCCUGUAUGACUACAGCGAAGCAAGCCCAGAAUGAAGUGUUGAGUGACCAUGAUGAUUCAGUACUACUAACACCAAAGAAGUGAGGGAAGUGUUUGGAGUGAGCGUGCAAGACAUACAACAGCCACGAGAUUGCUACUGCCGGUGUAGCCAAAGGAACAAGAGCAGCAGGAGAAGGAGGAAGAAGAGGGUGAUUCUUGUAUAACGUACCAGUGAACUUCUGAAGGAGAGAGAGAGAGAGAGAGAGAGAGAGAGAGAGAGAGAGAGAG
rnacentral:misc_RNA from 1 species